UACGUAGGUGGCGAGCGUUGUCCGGAUUUAUUGGGCGUAAAGCGCGCGCAGGUGGUGCGGUAAGUCUGUCGUGAAAUCUCCCGGCUCAACUGGGAGGGUGCGGUGGAGACUGCCGGACUGGAGGCACUCAGAGGCCGGUGGAAUUCCCGGUGUAGUGGUGAAAUGCGUAGAGAUCGGGAGGAACACCAGUGGCGAAGGCGGCUAUCUGGACGGUUUCUGACACUAAGACUCGAAAGCGUGGGGAGCAAACAGG
rnacentral:rRNA from 1 species